ensembl:ncRNA lncRNA:CR43456 long non-coding RNA:CR43456
CCAUGUUGCACAUCAUUUUAUUGUGGCACUUGCAGUUUAAUAAAAAUUUAUAUAAUUAAUAUUUACAUACUGUAAACAGGACGAGUUCAAUGAAGGACAAACCCUCGUCUGGAUUUGAUGGCCAUGGCGGCGACAUAUUACUUCCUUAUUUGUGGGCCGUGCCGCCCGGCGACCUUUCACCUUUCUCCGUCACGCUUCGAAAAAGUGAAACAUUAGGCCCAGGAAUCGCAUUGUGUGUGUGUGGCAUAAGUGUGUGUGCGUGUGUUUCGCAUUAAAACAAUGACGAGGCGAAAACAUUUUUAGCGCUGACAGCGAGCCAAACAUCCGCCAGAUAAAAAUGCCCGCGAACAAGCACACAAAUUUGAUUGAAUCAACGGUGGCGCAUCGUCCUGUCCUGUCCUGUCCCGUCUAUAUCCCUCGUCCUGGCCAUUGUUUCCCCCCACCACACUACUGAUGCAGUGAGUCCUGGCCGCUAGCUAGUCGUUCUGGGAUGAUAAUGAUAAGCGCAUAAAACCAUUAAGUGAUUCCACUUAAAUGAGCACGUUAGGAGGACUGCGAAGCUUGUUUGGACCGAAUUAUUCGCUUACUGGCUGAUCUACCCUCGCGUACACUUGGCAAAAAUUAUUUUAGAAUAUUCUAAUUAAUAUUUUAAAUGUGUUUUAUAAAAACGGACAAUAGUACU